UACGAAGGGUGCAAACGUUGCUCGGAAUUAUUGGGCGUAAAGCGCACGUAGGCGGCUUUGCAAGUCGGAUGUGAAAUCCCUCGGCUUAACCAAGGAAGUGCAUCCGAAACUGCAGAGCUUGAGUACUUAAGAGGAUCGCGGAAUUCCCGGUGUAGAGGUGAAAUUCGUAGAUAUCGGGGAGGAACACCGGUGGCGAAGGCGGCGAUCUGGGUCGAUACUGACGCUGAGGUGCGAAAGCGUGGGGAGCAAACAGG
rnacentral:rRNA from 1 species